rnacentral:misc_RNA from 1 species
GGAAGUAAAGUCGUAACAAGGUUUCCGUAGGUGAACCUGCGGAAGGAUCAUUAUUGUAUAACCGAGGUGCGAGGGCUGUCGCUGACCCGAAAGAUCGUGCACGCCCGAGUGCCCUCACACACAUCCAUCUCACCCCUAUGUGCACCACCGCGUGGGUCCCCCUUUGGCUUGUUCGGAGGGGGGCUUACGUUUUCACACAAACUUUGUAUGCAGUGUAGAAUGUAUUUUUUGUUUUUGCGAUCACGCAAUCAAUACAACUUUCAACAACGGAUCUCUUGGCUCUC